rnacentral:rRNA from 1 species
GAUGAACGCUGGCGGCGUGCUUAACACAUGCAAGUCGAACGGAAAGGCCCAAGCUUGCUUGGGUACUCGAGUGGCGAACGGGGGAGUAACACGUGGGUGAUCUGCCCUGCACUUCGGGAUAAGCCUGGGAAACUGGGUCUAAUACCGGAUAGGACCACACCUUGGAGGGUGUGGUGGAAAGUUUUUCGGUGUGGGAUGAGCUCGCGGCCUAUCAGCUUGUUGGUGGGGGAAUGGCCUACCAAGGCGUAGACGGGUAGCCGGCCUGGGAGGGGGGACGGCCACAUUGGGCCUAAGGUACGGCCCAGACUCCAACGGGAGGCAGCAGGGGGGAAUAUUGCCCAAUGGGCGCAAGCCUGAUGCAGAGACGCCGCGUGGGGGAUGACGGCCUUCGGGUUAUAAACUGCUUUCGCUUGGGACGAAGCGGUAGUGACGGUACCUGGAGAAGAAGCACCGGCUAACUACGUG